UACGUAGGGUGCGAGCGUUAAUCGGAAUUACUGGGCGUAAAGCGUGCGCAGGCGGUUCGUUGUGUCGGCGGUGAAAGCCCCGGGCUUAACCUGGGAAUGGCCGUUGAAACUGGCGAACUGGAGUGUGGCAGAGGGGGGUGGAAUUCCGCGUGUAGCAGUGAAAUGCGUAGAGAUGCGGAGGAACACCGAUGGCGAAGGCAGCCCCCUGGGCUAACACUGACGCUCAGGCACGAAAGCGUGGGGAGCAAACAGG
rnacentral:rRNA from 1 species